ensembl:lncRNA
CCUCAACCCUGCACCUAGCCUCAACCCUGCACCUUAACCCUGCACCUAGCCUCAACCCUGCACCUAGCCUCAACCUAGGCCUGGUAACAGGUAACUCAUGACAAUAUCUGUGUGUAGGAUGGGUUGCAUUUAUGCAACAACAAACAAACAGUUUCAAAGUGCUUUGCUGAUGUUGUAUCAUGUCUGCGUUGUGGAGGUUGUAGUGAUGUCUGUGUUGUGGAGGUUGUUGUGAUGUUGUAUCAUGUCUGUUGUGGAGGUUGUAGUGAGGUUGUAGUGAUGUUGUAUCAUGUCUGUGUUGUGGAGGUUGUAGUGAUGUUGUAUCAUGUCUGUUGUGGAGGUUGUAGUGAUGUUGUAUCAUGUCUGUGUUGUGGAGGUUGUAGUGAUGUUGUAUCAUGUCUGUGUUAUUUAGGUUGGGGGUGUUGUUCACUCCUCUGCUUCCUGCUGUACAGAUCAUCAAACUACUGCUUCUCUUCUACAUGAAGCAGGUAGGUUCUCCUCUGUUCUGAUCACUGUGCCAUGAUCACACUGGUAACUUCUCUUCUACAGGAAGCAGGUAGGUACACCUCUGUUCUGAUCACUGUGCCAUGAUCAUACUGGUAACUUCUCUUCUACAGGAAGCAGGUAGGUACACCUCUGUUCUGAUCACUGUGCCAUGAUCAUACUGGUAACUUCUCUUCUACAUGAAGCAGGUAGGUACACCUCUGUUCUGAUCACUGUGCCAUGAUCAUACUGGUAA